UUGUGGAGUGGUUGAAAAAGUUGUUUUUAAUGACUUCAACCUAAGUGUAUGUAAACUUCCAACUUCAACUGUAUGUGAAACUUUGCUGCUCUGUCAGCAGUUCCUGUGGGGUUUUUCAAACAGAUCAGUUUGCUUUAUUUAGCUGAGUUCAACCACUGAUCUAAAAAGAAGUUUUCACACCAUUGAAAUAAGGAAGUAAUGAGAGACAAGUCAUAAAGCCUCGCAGUAUUUUACAUUCUUCAGUCCUCUCUACAUGACAGUAGACUGUAUAGCUCAGUGGAGCCCCAGUUAGAGACAGAUAUGAUACCUGCAAUGAUAUUCAUGAUCUAUUUCUGGAGCACAGAUCUCCAGGCUCAAAGCGUCAGUCCACCAGCUGAAUACUCAGUCAGACUGGUGGAUGGGACCACUUCCUGUUUUUGGGACAGUGGAAGUCUUCUAUGAAGAAGGGUG